AGAGUUUGAUCAUGGCUCAGAUUGAACGCUGGCGGCAGGCCUAACACAUGCAAGUCGAGCGGAUGAAGGGAGCUUGCUCCUGGAUUCAGCGGCGGACGGGUGAGUAAUGCCUAGGAAUCUGCCUGGUAGUGGGGGAUAACGUCCGGAAACGGGCGCUAAUACCGCAUACGUCCUGAGGGAGAAAGUGGGGGAUCUUCGGACCUCACGCUAUCAGAUGAGCCUAGGUCGGAUUAGCUAGUUGGUGGGGUAAAGGCCUACCAAGGCGACGAUCCGUAACUGGUCUGAGAGGAUGAUCAGUCACACUGGAACUGAGACACGGUCCAGACUCCUACGGGAGGCAGCAGUGGGGAAUAUUGGACAAUGGGCGAAAGCCUGAUCCAGCCAUGCCGCGUGUGUGAAGAAGGUCUUCGGAUUGUAAAGCACUUUAAGUUGGGAGGAAGGGCAGUAAGUUAAUACCUUGCUGUUUUGACGUUACCAACAGAAUAAGCACCGGCUAACUUCGUGCCAGCAGCCGCGGUAAUACGAAGGGUGCAAGCGUUAAUCGGAAUUACUGGGCGUAAAGCGCGCGUAGGUGGUUCAGCAAGUUGGAUGUGAAAUCCCCGGGCUCAACCUGGGAACUGCAUCCAAAACUACUGAGCUAGAGUACGGUAGAGGGUGGUGGAAUUUCCUGUGUAGCGGUGAAAUGCGUAGAUAUAGGAAGGAACACCAGUGGCGAAGGCGACCACCUGGACUGAUACUGACACUGAGGUGCGAAAGCGUGGGGAGCAAACAGGAUUAGAUACCCUGGUAGUCCACGCCGUAAACGAUGUCGACUAGCCGUUGGGAUCCUUGAGAUCUUAGUGGCGCAGCUAACGCGAUAAGUCGACCGCCUGGGG
rnacentral:rRNA from 1 species